GACGAACGCUGGCGGCGUGCUUAACACAUGCAAGUCGAACGGAGAAUUUAUUUCGGUAAAUUCUUAGUGGCGAACGGGUGAGUAACGCGUGGGCAACCUGCCCUUCAGAUGGGGACAACAUCCCGAAAGGGGUGCUAAUACCGAAUACGAUCACGCUGCCGCAUGGCGGUGUGAUGAAAGAUGGCCUCUAUUUAUAAGCUAUCGCUGAAGGAUGGGCCUGCGUCUGAUUAGCUAGUUGGUGGGGUAACGGCCUACCAAGGCGAUGAUCAGUAGCCGGUCUGAGAGGAUGAACGGCCACAUUGGGACUGAGACACGGCCCAAACUCCUACGGGAGGCAGCAGUGGGGAAUAUUCCGCAAUGGACGAAAGUCUGACGGAGCAACGCCGCGUGAGUGAUGAAGGUUUUCGGACUGUAAAACUCUGUUGUUUAGGACGAAAAGUGCCUGUUGCAAAUAGUUGCAGGUAUUGACGGUACUGAACGAGGAAAGCCAACGGCUAACU
rnacentral:rRNA from 1 species